rnacentral:rRNA from 1 species
GCACGUAGUUAGCCGGUGCUUCUUCUGCAGGUACCGUCACUUUCGCUUCUUCCCUGCUGAAAGAGGUUUACAACCCGAAGGCCGUCAUCCCGCACGCGGCGUUGCUGCAUCAGGCUUGCGCCCAUUGUGCAAUAUUCCCCA